UCAGGAUGAACGCUAGCUACAGGCUUAACACAUGCAAGUCGAGGGGCAUCAGGAAGAAAGCUUGCUUUCUUUGCUGGCGACCGGCGCACGGGUGAGUAACACGUAUCCAACCUGCCCUUUACUCGGGGAUAGCCUUUCGAAAGAAAGAUUAAUACCCGAUAGCAUAAUGAUUCCGCAUGGUUUCAUUAUUAAAGGAUUCCGGUAAAGGAUGGGGAUGCGUUCCAUUAGGUUGUUGGUGAGGUAACGGCCCACCAAGCCUUCGAUGGAUAGGGGUUCUGAGAGGAAGGUCCCCCACAUUGGAACUGAGACACGGUCCAAACUCCUACGGGAGGCAGCAGUGAGGAAUAUUGGUCAAUGGGCGCUAGCCUGAACCAGCCAAGUAGCGUGAAGGAUGAAGGCUCUAUGGGUCGUAAACUUCUUUUAUAUAAGAAUAAAGUGCAGUAUGUAUACUGUUUUGUAUGUAUUAUAUGAAUAAGGAUCGGCUAACUCCGUGCCAGCAGCCGCGGUAAUACGGAGGAUCCGAGCGUUAUCCGGAUUUAUUGGGUUUAAAGGGAGCGUAGGUGGACUGGUAAGUCAGUUGUGAAAGUUUGCGGCUCAACCGUAAAAUUGCAGUUGAUACUGUCAGUCUUGAGUACAGUAGAGGUGGGCGGAAUUCGUGGUGUAGCGGUGAAAUGCUUAGAUAUCACGAAGAACUCCGAUUGCGAAGGCAGCUCACUGGACUGCAACUGACACUGAUGCUCGAAAGUGUGGGUAUCAAACAGGAUUAGAUACCCUGGUAGUCCACACAGUAAACGAUGAAUACUCGCUGUUUGCGAUAUACAGUAAGCGGCCAAGCGAAAGCAUUAAGUAUUCCACCUGGGGAGUACGCCGGCAACGGUGAAACUCAAAGGAAUUGACGGGGGCCCGCACAAGCGGAGGAACAUGUGGUUUAAUUCGAUGAUACGCGAGGAACCUUACCCGGGCUUAAAUUGCAGUGGAAUGAUGUGGAAACAUGUCAGUGAGCAAUCACCGCUGUGAAGGUGCUGCAUGGUUGUCGUCAGCUCGUGCCGUGAGGUGUCGGCUUAAGUGCCAUAACGAGCGCAACCCUUAUCUUUAGUUACUAACAGGUUAUGCUGAGGACUCUAGAGAGACUGCCGUCGUAAGAUGUGAGGAAGGUGGGGAUGACGUCAAAUCAGCACGGCCCUUACGUCCGGGGCUACACACGUGUUACAAUGGGGGGUACAGAAGGCAGCUAGCGGGUGACCGUAUGCUAAUCCCAAAAUCCUCUCUCAGUUCGGAUCGAAGUCUGCAACCCGACUUCGUGAAGCUGGAUUCGCUAGUAAUCGCGCAUCAGCCACGGCGCGGUGAAUACGUUCCCGGGCCUUGUACACACCGCCCGUCAAGCCAUGGGAGCCGGGGGUACCUGAAGUACGUAACCGCAAGGAUCGUCCUAGGGUA
rnacentral:rRNA from 1 species